AACAAACGCUGGCGGCGUGCCUAAUACAUGCAAGUCGAACGGGGAAAGUAGCAAUAUGAGUACUAGUGGCGCACGGGUGAGUAAUACGUGGAUAAUCUGCCUUCGAGUGGGGGAUAACUAGUCGAAAGAUUAGCUAAUACCGCAUAAGACCACAGGAUCUGAGGAUCUAGGGGUUAAAGGUUUUUCGCUUGAAGAUGAGUCCGCGCGAGAUUAGCUAGUUGGUGAGGUAAUGGCUCACCAAGGCAACGAUCUCUAACUGGUCUGAGAGGAUGAUCAGUCACACUGGAACUGAGACACGGUCCAGACUCCUACGGGAGGCAGCAGUAGGGAAUAUUGCACAAUGGAGGAAACUCUGAUGCAGCGACGCCGCGUGAGUGAUGAAGGCCUUCGGGUCGUAAAGCUCUGUCGCAGGGGAAUAAGCAAGUGAAUGUACCCUGAAAGAAAGGAAUCGGCUAACUUCGUGCCAGCAGCCGCGGUAA
rnacentral:rRNA from 1 species